rnacentral:lncRNA from 1 species
CCCUUUCCAUGUAAGUAGAAGUGAAUACUUUGUUUUAGACUGAUGGAUGAUGGAAUGGGAAAGACUUUCCUUUACGCUUUCUUGGGUUGCCAUUGCAGGGAAGACACAUCUUGGAACCGCUCCUGUCAAUUUAUUCUGUGAAAGGUCUAAUAUCCGUAAAGACUUCAGUAGGCAUAACGUUGUUGGGAUAUUUCCAUCAAAGGAAUNNNNNNNNNNNNNNNNNNNNNNNNNNNNNNNNNNNNNNNNNNNCGACCCAAUAAAAUUGUUUUUAGCCAGAUUAAGAAUGAUCAUGUUUGUCCCAUUUGUCCAACAAUUUGGGAUGACUCCUGACAAAUUAUUAAAAGAUACAUCAAGAGUUUGCAAUGAGUUAUGGACACCCAACACCUCACAUACUUGUGAAAUUUCUCCAUAAAAUAAAUUGUUGGACAGAUCCAAAGUCUUCGAGUUAGGAGGCAAAUGAGGCAAGGGACAUGAGAAAUUAUUGUGACUUAAAUCAAGUGUUUUAAGUUUCAAGUUUUGUGAAAAAUCAUGUCCACAUCUUUUCAGUUCAUUGUAUGAGAGGUUCAUAUAGUCAAUGUUAGUUGACAAAUCCCAAAACCAAUUUGGCACUGUAGCAGAGACACUUGCAUUUGAUAUAUCAAUAUGGGAGAAAUUCUUCUGAGUUUGAAUCCAUUUUGGAAAUUGAGGUCCCAAAUGACAAUUUGCCAAACCUAUAGUUUCAAGUUGGAAAGGAGGGAUCCAAUUUUUGCUCAUGUUGAAUGUUACUUGAUGGUUAAAAGACAGAUCCAACACUUUGAGGUUGCUAAAGUUAGCUAGAUGAACAUCACUGAUAUUACCCUCCAAAUUGUUUUUAGCUAAAUCCAACACAACCAAUUUUGAUAGCUGAUGAAGACUUGUUUCCAAUGACCCAUUUAAUUGAUUAUUAGAAAGACGCAACACUUUCAAACUAUUUUGGCCAUUAACCUGGCCCAAUAUUGAUGAUAUUGAACCAGUGAGUCUAUUAUGCGACAGAUCAAGGGUUGCAAGAGUUUUCAACCUCUCAAUUGAAUAUGGAAUUGGACCUUGUAAAUUGUUCGUCGAGAGAUUAAGGUAUUCAAGGUGAUAACAAUUUUCAAACAACCAAUCAGGAAUAGUACUAUUGAAAUAGUUUUUUGACAGAUCAAGAGUUACAAGAGAAUCACAAUUCAGUUCAGGUUGAGGGGAUUUAGGUAGUUUGUGAGGUCGACAACCCGAUAAACGCAAUGUUUCAAGAGAAUGGAGUAUUAUGCUAAUAUCAUGAAACCAAUCAUUUUUGCAACUACUAAGAUCAACACCACUUAAAUCCAGAACUUUCAAGGACGAAAGUCCAUGAAGCCAUUUUAGACUAUUGACAUAGAAAUCAUUUCCACUCAAAUCAAGUGAUUCAAGUAGAGAAAGGUUUUCAAGAUUAUCAAAAAGGCUCCCUUUAAAAUUUGCAUGAGAUAGAUCUAGAUGUUUUAAACUUUGCAUAGUACCUAGAAAAGAAGGUACUCUAGAUUGCAUGAAAUCAUUGCCACCAAGGUUCAAAUAACUUAAAUAUGGCAAUUGGAGCAAAGAUGAACUUAACUCACCUUGAAGUUUAUCUAAGGAAUUGGAAGAAUGGAGAUUAAGGGAGAUAACAUGACCUGUGGUUGUGUUGCAUCCUACUCCUUUCCAAUGGCAGCAAUCUUUUUCAAGUGUCCAUGAAGAAAGAAGUUUUGAAGGGUCUUUCAAGCCAUCCUUGAACUCAAGAAGUGCCUCUGCUUCACUGGCUAUGAACUGAGUGUUGAACCCUCCAUCGCAUAGAACGUGUGCAUGCAUUAGAAGGCAUAGGAAUGCAAUAAGUUUUGCUAUAAUUUGAAGGAAUUUGGUAUUCACCAUCAUUUUGAUUUUAAAGAUUCUUAAUUUUAUAACUCUUAAUUUUCUUGAAUUAGCACACCACUACUUAUAGGAGUUUUAGUGCCUUAAUAAUUGUGUUCAAACAUUGAUUUGUCAAUCUUUUUUUUCCAUGGUCAGAGUUAACAUUAGAUCUCAAAGCAAAUGGUUAAAGAAAAAUAGAAAUUAAAUAUUUUCUAUUAACCAAAAAAGAAAAGUAUUCCAUUUCAAGUCAUUGAAGUCAUCACCAUUGUUUAGCUUUAGUAAGUUUCAUCCCUUCUUCCUUAUCCUUAAUUAGACCCCUGCAUCUCUAGUGACCCUCCAUUUAGGGUUGUAACAUUAUCUUGUACCGUUUUCUACAAGUUAUUCCAAAGUCUCUUGUCCUUUGCAAAACAAAUAAAAUAGAAAAAGUCAAAAGUCUUUUUUUUUUUUUAAGUCAAGAUGUUUUUUGAGAGAGUAGAAUAUACCGUUAUAACUAAUUAGUUUCCUUCUUAGCUUUUGUAUUUGUGCUUCAUUUGGUUCUUUACUAAAUAUCUCUAAAGCAUAGGUAUACACCUAAAGUGGUGAAGUACCUGUGCCAUACAUACCACUCUGUACCCAUUUUUGUUAGGUUGAUUCACGGUGGUGAACACUGCAAAAAUGUGUUGGCGGUGGAAAGAUAGCGGAAAAUAUUUUGAUUUUUUAUUGCAUUUUAAUUCUCUCUUUAUUUUGAUGAUGAAUCUAUUUGUUUCUCCCAGCUGAAUCUCCUACCUCCAAAUAGAAGUGAUUAAAUGUAAUCACAUCACAUUGUGUCAAUUUCAUCUCAAUGUUGGACAUUCACUACAAAAAAUCUCAAUGGUUAGUGGGGGUUUUUAAUUGGCGGUUUUACAAAACCCCGUAAAUAGGGAGCGAAAAAAUAAAAUAUAAAAACAAAUUCGCUCGAAAUAUCAUCUUCCCCCGCAAACAAGAUUUAUGCAAUUUAAGUAUAUUGUUGAUUGAGUUAAGUUUGUCUUUUAUAUCUGAAUUUAGGAAAAUCGCAAGUUCAUGACUGAUGCUAAAAUAUCUUCAAUUAUAAUAAAUUCUUUUGAUCAGAACAUUCUCAAUUUCUUCACAAUAAUAUACAUCGUGCCACUUAGAACAAACAGCACGUCUUAUGCUAAACUCAUAAUAUGAGAUUUUGUACUCAAAGUGUCCCUAAAAUAUUCCUUAUGAAGAAUUAGUGUAUAAAUUUUGCGGUGAUUUAGUGACUGUUACAUUUUCAUUCAUCCUAGUUAAUGUGGAAACUCUUAAAUUUGGUGUUAUGUAUAUCCAUCCUAUAUGCUAUACAUAAUUAAUUUCUAAGAACCUGGUUACUUUUUUUCUCUAUUUAAUUCUUAGCAUAUGAAUACUGCUGUAUCCUAUAGGUUAUGCUUAAUUUCUAAGAACUUGGUUACAUAUUUAGUACCAAGGAUAUUAUUUAUCAGCAACAUGUCUUUUAUACCUGAAUUUAGGUAUACUGUUGAUUGAGUUAAGUUUGUGUUUUAUACCUGAUUUUAGCAAAGAAUGUAGUAAGAUAUAAAUAGGCCAUGAUCUUGCAAUUUAGGAAAAUGCAAAUGAAUCAAUAUUCAAUUUAGUUAUGAUUUAUAUGCAAGUUAAUAAAUAAGCAGGGUAGAUAAUUGGUGUAGAUACUAGUGCUGGAUAACCAUAAUAUGAAUUAGUUAUUUUGAGUUGUGAUAAGCUUUUUCCUUUACUUUUCUUUUGUCAACAUAAUAUAGGGAUAAUCCUGUUUAUAAGAAAGGGGGUUUGGAAAGUAGGGAUAGUCCUGUUAAUUUGCUGCCACCGAAACAUAGGUGAUGUGUAUAUAUUCUUACAUUUUCAACUCAAAUAUAAGGAGGUUUGUUGUUUUCUUCAGCUGCAAACCACUAAAUUCUUGUAUGAUUGUGUUACAAUGCAUGUCAGGUUGAUGGAAACCAGGUAUUGCAUUUCUGUACCAAUCCACAAUGGUAUAGCCCCCCUAAAUCCCUAUGGGAGAAAUUUUUGCAUUUUGGCACGGUAUCAAAGACACUUGCAUUUGAUAUAUCAAUAUGGGAGAAAUUCUUUUGAGUUUGAAUCCAUUUUGGAAAUUGAGGGCCCAAAAGACAAUUCGCCAGAUUUUAUUAAUCGAUAUAAGAGCCAAAUGAACAUGAGAGGGGUAGAGAAUAAGCUAGUUUCAAAAAAUUACACCAACAUAAAUCAAACAUCAUGAUAGAAAUAAAGACAUGAUGAUAAAAAUAAGCUAGGAUCUAUUUCAAGAAGUGAAACCUGCAUUUUCAAAGAAUAGUUUGAAUGUCAAUUAGAUCAGCAUCAUAAAUUGGUUACCAAAGUGAUUACCUUUAAAGGUCAUAGUUUUAUACUACCAAACCUUGAUUGAAAUUAGAAAACAAAUUUAGCAAAAUCAAUUCAAGUAAACAUUGAAAUCAAUAGAAUUAGAAAAACAAUAAAGUUAACUAAAAAAUAAGAUGCAUCUCUGACUUUGAGAGUUGAGAAACUCAGCCUCCAUGUCACCGGAGAGUGGUUUGAAGUUGGUAAAUGCAUCUUUGCCACACAACCGUUGUGCGGUGACAUCUUAAUCUCUUGCAGUUUCUGUUUCAGAUCAUGUGGUCGAUUUUAGCGGUGGGAGAUAGAAUAGAAGAGAGAAAAGAUUGCAAAUAGAGAAAUCGGGUUGGGCUUUAGAGGGAUACAAUUUUAUUGCCAUGGCUUUAGGGGAUUCCUUCCUCAGAAUCUCCAAUCGUCAAUCACACCGGAUCCAGUCUCAUAACGGAAACAUCUCUCCAAAGAAAACAAGUGUGUAACGUGAAAGAGUAGGCAUAGUCAAUAACGAAAGUCUUUGAAGUCAACACCAUCACCAUUGUACAGUAUUGUUUAGCUUUAUAGUAAGUUUCAUCCUUAAUUCAUUCCUUAGUCUCUUUAACAUCAUAUUGUCCCAUUUUUCUACAAGUUUUUUCAAAGUCUCUUGCAAAACAAAUAAUAAAAAUAGAAAUCUUAUUUGAAGUCAUGAUUACUUUGAUAAUUUUUCUAAAAUGUUAUUAUUUUGGAGGAAAAAACAAUACAGAAUAUAGUGAAUUUUAAUUAACGGUAGCAAUCUUUGCAGCAAUCUAUUCUAUAUUAUAUAAGCUUCCAUCAAUGUCUUCGAGAGACUGCUCUCGAUCCCUUAAACAAGGUUUUGGAUUCGAGUAUUUUGGGAUGAAAAGAAAAAUUUGUCACAAAUUGACAAAUAUUAGUCAUUCCUCGUGAUCGGGUUGAUUCGUGUGCAUUUAGAAAGAGAAGCCAAAAAUUGAAGAAGUUUUAUGAAAUUUGUUCUCACUAGUUUGAUACUUUGNNNNNNNNNNNNNNNNNNNNNNNNNNNNNNNNNNNNNNNNNNNNNNNNNNNNNNNNNNNNNNNNNNNNNNNNNNNNNNNNNNNNNNNNNNNNNNNNNNNNNNNNNNNNNNNNNNNNNNNAUUCUUUAUUCAAAAUCAUCAACAAUUUGGAUACAAUUUUUGUGUCAUCUACUAUUUCUUAACACAAUCACAGACCAAACAUAAAGUUUUGUUACAUGGGAGGUUGUUGAGGGUGAAGUUUCCUCCGCAAUUUAUUAAACGUGACAACUACAGUGACAUAGAUCCUAUCAUUCAUGUUGCUUAGAAAACGGAAAUAAGCAUGUCUCCAAGAUGCAACUAAUAUUAAGGAUCCCCAAAAUACCCAAAAUCCUGUAGAAAACCCUAUUCCCAUGCUUAUGUAGAAUGGAUUUAUCUCCAUGCCCCAAAAUAAGCUGUCAUUUUCUUGUUCAUCAUUGUGACUGCUAUAUUUGUCCUUGAAGGACUUGUUUGCAUUUCUAGGACAUGUUUUUGUGAGUGGAAGACCACAAAGACGUGGAUUACCUUCGUAGGAAAUGCUACUCAUAUAUUGCAACUGAGUACCGAUAGGAAUUUUCCCAGACAAAGUGUUGUAUGAUAAGUUCAACAUUUCGAGGAAAUGCAGAUUAGCCAAGCUAGUGGGAAUGACACUUGAUAACUGAUUCCUCGACAAAUCCAACGAUUCCAAGUAUUGCAUUUCACCAAUAUUGGUAGGAAUGGAACCCACCAAUUGGUUCCUCGACAAGUUUAACGAAUGUAAUUCAACUAGCUUUGCCAUUUCAACAGGAAUUUCUUCUGUUAAAUAAUUUGAUGACAAGUCAAUUAAUCUAAUAAGUCGAACUAAACGUCCAGUAAAAUACCGAUCCAACCCUUUCCAUGUAAGUAGAAGUGGAUGCUUUGUUUUAGACUGAUAGAUGAUGGAAUGGGAAAGACUUUCCUUUAUGCUUUCUUGGGUUGCCAUUGCAGGGAAGACACAUCUUGGAACCGCUCCUGUCAAUUUAUUCUGUGAAAGGUCUAAUAUCCGUAAAGACUUCAGUAGGCAUAACGUUGUUGGGAUAUUUCCAUCAAAGGAAUUCCUACUCAAUAUGAGUGACUCUAGGAUUUGCAUGUCUGUACCAAUCCAAGAUGGUAUGGUCCCCCUAAAUCGA